rnacentral:miRNA from 1 species
GAUUUCAGUGAAAUGAAGCCUG